rnacentral:rRNA from 1 species
AUGAUCGCGCCACUCCUAAGAAAAAACACAGUGCGUCUAGAUAUCAAUGCUGCUCUGAAACCGAUUGUAACACCGCUGUGCAAGAUUACCGCUCUCAAACACAAUGUGGCAUCGAACAGUUCAAUAUGUUCUUUACAGGAUCAAAACAAGUUUGUAACAGAGCGCUCUAAAAUGUUGGUGAGGUUUUGCUUGCCCACACUUUUGGGUUUAGUCACAACAAAACUGUCACAUGUUUUUGGUCAGGAGGAGCAAUUGCACCAGCAAAGCAAACACAACACCAGUUCAGAGAACAAGAUGCCUCAGAAAAAACAACGACAUAUGAACAGCACCAGCACAGGGUAA